rnacentral:misc_RNA from 1 species
AAGCUAAACUCAAUUAGCAGAGGUAGAUGCAAUGUGUAUUAAGGUCUUUAAUAUUACUGUUCUACCUGUUGGCUGAUCCAAGCGGCUAGCAAGGCAGCAAAUGCUUUAUAUGCAGUGUUAUUAAAGGUUCCAAAAGGUGCCUGAUGAGGCUGCCUUGCCUUGCCUGGGUGCACACCCCAGUUCAAGAGGCGAGUGCCUCUCUCACCAAGGUGCUAGGUGAGGCAAGGUGUGCCUCUUUUAAAGUAACUUUUAUUUUAUUUUAUUUUUAUUGUUAGGGUUUCUCUCCUUCUCUCCUCUUU